CAGCGGGCCAGUGACCCCUGAAUCAGUGGUUCCCGAAGAUGGCUGCGAAACCAGUGUUGGCUGCAGCGUCUGUGUGAAUGAUGGGUGAAGAAAUGGAGAGAGGGGGGAUAAACAUGGAGAUACCGUUCCUAUCUGCCAAGAACUUCCCCCACAUAGCUAAGUCAGCCCUGACGUAGGGGUCCAAUGAAACUGGGCAGGAGUCCGGUACCCCAUGGAGCAGGCAGAGAAGCCUGGAUAUAAAUGACCUUCCCUGCGGAAUGAUGCGCAUAGCGAAGUUAAGGGAUCCCAGAAGGGACUGAAGUUCCCUUUUGGUGCAUACGUCACUCCGCAGAAACAUUUCUAUUUCCUCUCUCAAGCGGAUCAGUUUGUCGUGAGGAAGGCUAGCUCGGAGGGUAACAGAGUCCAGCUCUAUCCCAAAAAAGGUUAGUUCAGUUGUGGGGCCGAUAGUUUUUGAUGUGGAUAAUGGUACCCCAAGUUUGGAGAAAAGUGCUGAAGUACUGCGGAUAGCGGUGGGUGUUUGUGCCUCUGGUUCUAUCAGUAAGAAGUAGUCUAAGUAGUGGAUGACAG